rnacentral:rRNA from 1 species
UGCAAGUCGAGCGGAUGAAGGGAGCUUGCUCCCUGAUUCAGCGGCGGACGGGUGAGUAAUGCCUAGGAAUCUGCCUGGUAGUGGGGGACAACGUCUCGAAAGGGACGCUAAUACCGCAUACGUCCUACGGGAGAAAGCAGGGGACCUUCGGGCCUUGCGCUAUCAGAUGAGCCUAGGUCGGAUUAGCUAGUUGGUGAGGUAAUGGCUCACCAAGGCGACGAUCCGUAACUGGUCUGAGAGGAUGAUCAGUCACACUGGAACUGAGACACGGUCCAGACUCCUACGGGAGGCAGCAGUGGGGAAUAUUGGACAAUGGGCGAAAGCCUGAUCCAGCCAUGCCGCGUGUGUGAAGAAGGUCUUCGGAUUGUAAAGCACUUUAAGUUGGGAGGAAGGGCAUUAACCUAAUACGUUGGUGUUUUGACGUUACCGACAGAAUAAGCACCGGCUAACUCUGUGCCAGCAGCCGCGGUAAUACAGAGGGUGCAAGCGUUAAUCGGAAUUACUGGGCGUAAAGCGCGCGUAGGUGGUUUGUUA